rnacentral:rRNA from 1 species
AAUAGCCGCAAAUUUCUGUGCUAAGGUAGCAUAAUCAUUUGUUUUUUAAUUAAAAACUAGAAUGAAAGGUUUUACAUUAAAUUUUUCUAUUAUUUUUACUUAUUUAAUCUAUACUAAAUAUAAAAAUAUAUUUAUAAAAAAAAUAGACGAUAAGACCCUAUUAAACUUUACUUUUGUUUAGCUGGGGCAGCUAAAUAAUAAAAAUUUUAUUUUUUAAUAUAAAAAUGACCCAAUUUAAUUGAUUUAUUAAUUAAGUUACUAUAGGGAUAACAGCGUUAUAUUUUUUAAAAGUUCUUAUUUAAAAAAAAAAUUACGACCUCGAUGUUGAAUUAUUACUCUUUAUUAAAGUAAAAAUUAUAAAAGUUGGUCUGUUCGACCAUUAAAAUAUUACAUGAUCUGAGUCAAAACCCGGAGAU